ACAUUAUAUUUCCAUUUUUGCAAACUCACAAAGAAUUAUUUUUAAAUGCUAAAACACACACUAGAUGUCACGGCCAGGCGGAUCAGCUGCACGCUGAUCAGCCCUCUCUGUUUCUCUUCCUCUUCUCUCUCGCCGGGGCGGAACUCACUGUGGGUUCAUGCCCUUGGUCCACGCCCUCGGGAGAUGAGACCCAGGUGUCUCAUUAAGGGGAGCAGCAUUUAAGCCAGGAGGUGACUGCUGUUCGUCGCUGGAUCGUUGUCUACCACGCAACCUCUUGGAUUUUUCCCCGUGUGGCAGUGUUGGAGUGUGAACCUGUGAUCGUGUGAGUGGAUAUUCUGAAGAACGUAUGCUUUCCCUUGGACUUCCCUGGAGACCCCUUCUUCCCCCACUCAGCUGUAUAUAACACCCCCCUGCACAUUCUUGUAUAUACACCUGGUGACUUGUAAAUAAACUCUUCUUGUAAGCAUCA